UGUGUGUCGUAGUUAACGCGUUAAACAGGGCGCCUGGGAAGUACGGCCGCAAGGCUAAAACCCAAAGGAAUUGACGGGGACCCGCACAAGCAGUGGAGCGCCUGGUUUAAUUCGAUGGUCAGCGAAGAACCUCACCUAGGCUUGAACUGUAGCUGCACGCUCCCAGAAACGGGAGAAUCCUUCGAGGGUGCUACAGAGGUGCCGCAUGGCUGUCGUCAGCUCGUGUCGUGAGAUGUAGGGUUAAGUCCCACAACGAGCGCAACCCCUAUUCAGUGUUAUAAUUACUCUGAAGACUGCCCUGUCCAAACGGGGAGGAAGGAGGGGACGACGUCCAGUCAUCAUGUCCCUUAUGUCUAGGGCUACACAGACGCUACAAUGGCCGGUACAAUGGGUUGCCAAACCGCGAGGUGGAGCCAAUCCCAUCAAAGCCGGUCCCAGUUCGGAUUGCAGUCUGCAACUCGACUGCAUGAAGUUGGAAUUGCUAGUAAUCGCGAAUCAGCACGUCGCGGUGAAUACGUUCUCGGGUCUUGUACACACCGCCCGUCAGGGCACGGGAGUCGCUCUUGCUCGAAGUCC
rnacentral:rRNA from 1 species